AGAGUUUGAUCCUGGCUCAGAACGAACGCUGGCGGCGUGCUUAACACAUGCAAGUCGAACGCGAAAUUUUUCUUCGGAAAGAGAGUAGAGUGGCGCACGGGUGAGUAACGCGUAAAUAAUCUACCCCUGCAUUUGGGAUAACCCACCGAAAGGUGGGCUAAUACCGGAUACGUUCUUUAGGUUGCGAGAUUUAGAGAAGAAAGGUGGCCUCUGAUACAAGCUACCGUGCGGGGAGGAAUUUGCGUACCAUUAGCUAGUUGGUAGGGUAAAGGCCUACCAAGGCGACGAUGGUUAGCGGGUCUGAGAGGAUGAUCCGCCACACUGGAACUGGAACACGGACCAGACUCCUACGGGAGGCAGCAGUGAGGAAUAUUGCGCAAUGGGGGAAACCCUGACGCAGCGACGCCGCGUGGAUGAUGAAGGCCUUCGGGUCGUAAAAUCCUGUCAGAUGGAAAGAAGUGUAUAUGUGUUAACAGCGCAUAUAUUUGACGGUACCAUCAAAGGAAGCACCGGCUAACUCCGUGCCAGCAGCCGCGGUAAUACGGAGGGUGCAAGCGUUGUUCGGAAUUACUGGGCGUAAAGCGCGCGUAGGUGGUUUGUUAUGUCAGAUGUGAAAGUCCACGGCUCAACCGUGGAAGUGCAUUUGAAACUGGCUGACUUGAGUACUGGAGGGGGUAGUGGAAUUCCCGGUGUAGAGGUGAAAUUCGUAGAUAUCGGGAGGAAUACCGGUGGCGAAGGCGACUACCUGGCCAGAUACUGACACUGAGGUGCGAAAGCGUGGGGAGCAAACAGGAUUAGAUACCCUGGUAGUCCACGCCGUAAACGAUGUCAACUAGGUGUUGGGAUGGUUAAUCGUCUCAUUGCCGCAGCUAACGCAUUAAGUUGACCGCCUGGGGAGUACGGUCGCAAGAUUAAACUCAAAGGAAUUGACGGGGGCCCGCACAGCGGUGGAGUAUGUGGUUUAUUCGACGCACGCGAAGACCUUACUGG
rnacentral:rRNA from 1 species